AUGGAGGAGCCUCUGAAGGCUCUUUUUGGGGUAACGGAAGAGAGCCUUCUGAUAUCCCUGGUUGAGGGUCACUCCAACCCCACCUCCUCCAGCUCCUCCGAGUUGAGCUGUGCUAUCGUGGGGGAGGUGGUACACCAGCUUAACUCUGGCCUCUCAGUGGCCAUUCAGGCCAGCCCGGGGAGUUGCCCCCCUAUGGACAGUCAGGACAUAGCAGCAGGCAAGGAGGUCAUUCGGGUAGCCUCGGUUCAGAUCCUGGCCGAGCUACAGAGCCAAACAUCUGAGCCAGAGUGGGUAGGGUUUAUCGAGCCCCUCAUGGACCCUGUGACCGAUGAUGUGCUGGAGGCCAUUGUCGGCACAAUGGACAAAAUGGCACAGGACUUCAACAUCCUAUUGGAUCUGGCCAAGAAGAUGACAAUCUUGGGGUCUAAAUUUCUGACCAAUCUUCAAUGUGACCUAGAUGUUGAGUGUCCAUCUGGGAAGGAAGGGACCACUCACUUUCUCAAAGAGACUGGAUCCGCUACCAGUGUGGUGGCCAGAAAGAUUCAGACCCUCUCUAGCCCCGACUUUCAGUCUAAAGCCCUGAAGGCGGUGAGCACCAUCCUUACAAGGAAAGUCAGCAGCUCUUCUGGCAUGGCUCCUUCCUCUAGGCCUUCUAGUGCUGCUCCUAGCCUUACUGAAGCCCCGCUGAAUACCAGCUGCACAGCCCUGACAUCUGUAACCUCCACUGCCACAGUGAUUGUUAAGGCAUUUGUGGGAGGCAUGGAGACGAUAGCAUCAUUUGAAGACACAUGUGAAGCAGUUGAUUGGCCAGUUCCUGUAAAUGACCACAAAACAGGGUCUUCACAGAAGAUAACCUUCUCUCUAGCCGGCACACUCUAUGGCCGUAUACGAGCAAAGCUGAGGGACCUUUUAACUCUAGCCGCUCGAGAAGAAGGUGUGGCAAAGGAUGCUUCUCUUCGGGAGUCUUCAGACACCCUGGAAAAGGCAACUGUUUCAACUGUUGAGGUCCAGUUACCCAGCACCGAACACAGUAGAGUUCCCAGAGAGAGCCAACCAAUACCAGCUCUCUGUCUCUCCAAUCUGGAUACCAGUACUCAAGAAGUUCUUAGCAGUGUUUUUUCCAUCUACAAGUCAGAGUUAUCAAAAGUGGAGAGUAAAUCCUUAGCCGUUGUCAGUUCAUCUGAUGAGUCCCUAGAGGCUUGUUGGUUUGUUGAUGGUGUCCUAUCAAAGCUUGAUGACUAUACUAUUUCCCAGUCACCCUCACCCAAUGAAGACUUGAGCGUGAGUACUCAAUAUUCUCAACUGAGCUCAGAAGAGAGUGUCAGAAUCACAGAGUCCUCAACUAGUCUGAUUCAGAGUAUUAAGAAGCUCUCUAGCAAUCACUUUCAGACUCAGGCAGAAGAGGCAGUGAGUAAAGUGCUGAUGAGAUCCAGUCAUUCCUUUAUCACACAGAUCAGCCAUACUGGUCUUCAGAAAAGUCUGCAGGCUGGCUUAUCAUCUAGCUCACCAUCAGAGAUCCAUGUCCUUUCAGAAUCCAUGUCCUCCAUGUCCUCUGAGAAUACAGCCUCUGGAUUAGUGGAAACCUUUGUCAAAGGAAUGGCGACUAUUUUCCAGAAAAAUGAGUCCACUGACACUGUGCUACUGGAAAGAAGUGGGAGAGUUUCACAGUGCUCCCACGGGGGCUCCCAACUGGAUUAUACUGAAUUGAGUGUUAAAAUAUCAGAGGAGAAGCUUUGGUCAACAGCUAAGAACAUCUGCGUCAGUAUGAAGAACACACUUAAGGAUUUCUUCACAGGGCUGAAGCCAUCCGGAUCCGAAAGGACAGAAAUGGCUUCUUCCAAAGAGACCCUUGGGGAGAUCCUGGUUGCUAUCCAGAGUGAAAUCUCAAACUUCGGGCGAAUGAAGGAUUCCAGGGAGCUCCUUCAGAUCAAUGAUAUGGUAGGAACUAUGCUGAAGGAGAUUGAGAAAAGUGAGGAUGACAGUGAACAAGUCUGCCAAGACAUCCCUCGAACCUGUUCAUCUUUAUCCACUUCUUUAAAUGGUCGUAGUUCCUUGUCCAGCUCUUCAAAGGGUCCUAGGUCAGAGUGUGAGUUAGAGAUCAACCUCCCUGGCACUCCCAUCCCUGACGAAGUGCCUUUUGAUCUGACCUGCCCCAUCGUCAGGAGCUCCUGCAUCGACACCAGGGACUCUAAAAUGCCAGAGAUUUCUACAAGUGACCUAAAGACAAAGAUGAUGGCACACACAGAUGAACCCCUGCAUCGUAACAGUCCAAUGACUGACAGCAGCCGACCACCGAGUGCUAAAGUCUCUUUUCGAUCCUCCACUCCGUCUUUCACCAGCAAGGGAACCUCUUUGGUACCAAAGGGAGAGGGGAUUGACAUUGAAGAGAAGGAGGUGUGUAUCCCCAGCAGCUCUGGCCAUCUGAGGGAGCUCUUAAUCAUCCCGGACAUCAGCAGUGCCACUGCAUUCCCACUGCAGUACUUGAUGGACUCCAGCAAAGAUGAUGGAUGGCAUCUGUUUUGUCACCAUACUGGUGAUAAGGUUGCUAUCGGAGAUCAGACCCUCAGCCCUAGAUGGACCCUCCCAACAGGCAGCAGAUCUGACAGAAACAUCUCAGCAACUCAUCAGACAAGUCCUGUCUGAGUUCUGUGCUGCAUCCAGAUUAUCCAGGACACAGGCAUAUUCCCAGAACCUGAGCAUCCAAAGGGUGUUCAGAGGUGUACAUAAAAACCUCAUGGAGGAGUUUGGCUCUUAUAACACCCUGCAAGCAGCUAUGUCCUCCCAGGACCCUGCAUUUGACAGAGUCCUGGUAAAGUCCUUGACCCAGCAGCUGGUACAGGGAUGCAAGGAGGCGUCAAGACCAGCUUCUGCUGCAACAAACCCAUCAGACCAGGCUGAGACGGAGAGGGGGGCUGAGCAGAAAGCAAGAAGGAGCUUCCUUUGCUUUUCAAUGACCAAACUCAGGAUCAACUUCAAGGUAUAGCAGGGAGUUAGCAUUUGUUUUUUGUUCCAGUUAGGUGCUGAUGUUAUUGAUGUGGCUAUGAUAAGACAAAUACAUGAAAUAAAUAUUUUUUAUUCACCACUAAAUUGUUGCCUUGGAUUCAGAAGUGUUCCAUUUAUUUAUUCUCUGUACCAUUUUCUUUACCUUUCUUCUGUUAGCGUUCCAAGAGAGGAAACAAAAAGGACUGCCAUUCAGUCCAGGACCAGACUGAGAUUCCCUCUACUGAUGGACAUUGCAUAGGUAAGGAUGUUUUAGAGCUCUGCUAUAGCUUGUAGUUUUGUUUAGGUGUGUGUUAGAAACAUAGGAAUGCCUACCAAACUCAUAGCACUGUUAUUUUUCAACGUUACUAUACAGCAUCUCUCUCUCUCUCUCUUACCCCAUCCAUUUCUCUUGUGUUUCUAGCUCCAGUUGGAGAGGGUUCUCCCUCCAUAUCUCAGCCUGUCAAAAAACGAUCCUUGAUUGUCAGGGUCUUUUCAGCAAUGAUGAAGCCAUUCAGGCGCUUCACCAAGAAGAACCUGUAACCUGUUACGCUGCAUGAAGAACUACUUUUGUAACAGCAAGACUUUUGACAAGCGGAAUUUCUGCAUGUCUAACCUUUCAAAGUCUAUUUGAUCAAAUAAAUGCCAAUGAUUUUACAAGAAUUUCAAGUGUUUUGGAAGAUUGAUAAUACUGAAGCAGAUUUUCUCAGAGAAAUGCACUAGUUCCCCCUUGGUUACACAUUUAUUGUUCAGCUUUUGAGUUGGCAGGACAUAGGGCGUCAGGUAGCCUUGUGGUUAGAGCAUUGGGCCAAUAACCGAAAGGUUGCUAGGUCAGAUCCCUGAGCUGGCCAUGUAAAAAUAUGUCGUUCUGCUCCUGAACAAGGUAGUUAACCCACUGUUCCUAAGCUGUCAUUGUAAAUAAGAAUUUGUUCUGAACUGACUUGUCUAGGAAAAUAAAUAAAAUAACCACAGCUUGACUCUAAUACAAUAGUUGCUGCAUAGACUGUCAGAUAACCAGAUGUUCUCUAUUAAUUUAGUUAGAUUGGUAAGAGCUUAUU
ensembl:lncRNA